AAGGAUGAGAGAAUCAGCUCCCCUCCCUCUUUUUCUUCCUUCCUUCUUUUCUUCCUUCUUUCUUUUGUGGUUCCUCUCACUUCUUUCCACCCUCCACCAACCAGCAGCUGCCACCUCCCACCGGCCACUUUUCAGCCAGUCGCCGGCCAGCCACCAUUUCCGGCCAACAUUCAUUCAAGCUUUUAAUUCACCCAUUUAGCUCCAAAUCAAGGUGCAAUUGAAGGAAUUUAUACUUGGAUUCCAUUGUUGAUUGGAGUUGUAAGCUUGGUUAGGUGAGGUUCAAGAACUUGGAAAGUCUUGGGUUAAGAAAAUGUUGAUUGUGGCCGGAGAAUUCAAGGUUGAGUAUUAGCUUCACAUAGCUUGUUCUUGGAGUACGAGGUGGGCUGUUCAGGGUUCCUAUGAAUAUGGGAAUGCCGGUGGACCGAGUCAGGAUUUCACAUGUACUUGAGGCACCAUGCGGUGAUGUCGUUGGGCUGUUCAGGGUCUCGAUGAGUAUAGGGAUGCCGGUAGGCCAAGUUAGGAUUCUGUAUGGUGUUGUUAUCUACUUGUGUUUUGGGUGUACAUGAUGUUUGUUAUCAUAUUGUUGUAUUUAUGCUUUUCUUCAAUAUUUCAACCUUACAGUAUUCAUUUAUUCUUUAUUAUUCCCUAUUGGGCUUUUCGCUCACCCUUUUCUUCUCUUUAUUCCCUCCUCGCAAGUGAGUCUAGCUCUGGUACCAGGGUUGCGAAUCAGGAGGAGCGUGCAUGACAUGGAUAGGCCCCUGAAAAGUUAUAGGACUAGAUGGUUCUAGAAUUUGAUUAUGUUACUAGGAUUUUGUCAUACUUAUUUUUCUUGAUUGAGACAUGUUGUGUGAUACCUCAAUUCAAUGGUUGGAUGGACGGUUGGGAGGGUGCUCCGUAUGAUUAGGACUCCCGAACCGGGUUUGUAGACUUCGUGUCCUGACAAUUGAUUAUGCAUGCAGGAUUGC